rnacentral:rRNA from 1 species
GAUGAACGCUAGCGGCAGGCCUAAUACAUGCAAGUCGAACGAUACCAGAGAGCUUGCUUUCUGGGAAAGUGGCGCACGGGUGCGUAACGCGUAUGCAACCUACCUUAAUCAGGGGGAUAGCCUCUCGAAAGAGAGAUUAACACCGCAUAAAAAUCACACUUCGGCAUCGAAGAAUGAUCAAAUAUUUAUAGGAUUAAGAUGGGCAUGCGUGACAUUAGCUAGUUGGUAAGGUAACGGCUUACCAAGGCUACGAUGUCUAGGGGAUCUGAGAGGAUGACCCCCCACACUGGUACUGAGACACGGACCAGACUCCUACGGGAGGCAGCAGUAAGGAAUAUUGGUCAAUGGGGGCAACCCUGAACCAGCCAUGCCGCGUGAAGGAUGACUGCCCUNUGGGUUGUAAACUUCUUUUGGAUGGGACGAAAAAAACGGGNUUUAAUCCUGGACUGACGGUACCAUCAGAAUAAGCACCGGCUAACUCCGUGCCAGCAGCCGUACGG